rnacentral:lncRNA from 1 species
GCUUGCAGAGUCCUGGGCCACCACGCUUGGCUGUAGGACGUGGCAUGCAGACACGACUUCUCACCUCCUGGUUUUUCUUCUUCUCUCCACCCAGAAGGCUGUGGGAUAAACAGGGCUUCCCCCGAUCUUUUCAUGCUGUGAGAGUUUCUAUAAGUGCAUCUGGCACUACCGGGUAGCCCUCUCAUCAUUGGAUGCCUGACUGAGAAGAGAACACCCAAGCUGACCAGACCUCAGGAACUGCCGGGCAAGUGGCAGGCUGGGAUUCCAAAUCGGGACUAUCUGACCUCAUGACUUCUGCUCUUUCAGCUCCCCUGACCUGUGUUGAAACUAUUUCUUGCCUGAAUGGAAG